AGAGUAUAAGCCAAUGGAGCUUGGAAGGCUUCCGCAGUCUCGGGCAUCUAUACGGUGUUCCGGAAGGCAUGUAGCACGGCUCGUCAGGCGGAGCAUUGAGUUUUCUGACCAGCUGACGUACGGGGAAUUCGGGUAUGGUCUGGGGCUUCGGCUAGCUGGAUUUACGCUCGUUUCCUUAAGGAUGGACGUUCAGAGCUACUGUGUCUAAUGCGGUUACGCCCACCACGGCACGUUGUGAGGUCACCCACAGGCUCAAACAGCCGAUCGCGAACUCAGGUCCGUGGCGAUUAAGCGUCUGGCUAGAUUGCCUCUCACACGGGGCAAUCGGCGCGUGUCAAGUGUCCUGGGUCGGGCGGCGACCGAGUUAAACCUGGUAUGAUCCUCAUGCGACGAGCUGCUUUCUGGCCAGACCGACGUCCGGGCGCUGCCACUUGCCGGCAGCGUCUAUCCCAGGCGGUAUGACCCUCUACAGCGGCUUUUCUCUGCAAUGGUCUCUCAGCCGGGCGUUGGUCUGAGUGGUGUUAAGUCCAGCACCAUCGGUCACGUCUCGAAACACGGGCCAAGGAGUAUAGCAUGUGUGCAAGUCUAAGGGUCUCACAAAACCCGAAGGCGAAGUGAAAGCAAGACUGUGGCGGGUAAGCUCCGGCGAACCCGCCGGCCUAGGUGACGCGCACACACACCUUGUGUGUGUGUGUGUUGUUGCCUGGCUUUUGGCAGAGCUGAUCCUGUUUGUCUCGGUUAAUUCCUGGUGCAGGCGCAAGCUCCGGGCUCACGCAUAACACUGGUCACGCGCCUCGUGUGUGUGGCUGUGUUGUGAGCACC
rnacentral:rRNA from 1 species